GUAGAUUUUCCUUUUAUGGUUA
rnacentral:miRNA from 1 species